AAGACUGGAAGAUGAUGAGCGCACCAUGGAUGCCUCUGAGGUUCUGGAGGAAAGUCUACAGAACAUGAGCAUCCAGGAUGCUGAAACCCAGGUCAUGAAUGAGCAGGAGAUAAAUGAUCUAAUGAACAGUGUAAUUGAUUGGGGGGACAGUGAAGGUGUUAGUAAUGAGGAGAUUGAAGCAGAUGACAGUGAAGAUGAGGACUAUGUCCCUCGUAUUUGUAUUUGGUAUGUUAACAUUGGAUCCUCUAAGAUUAUUCACAAUACAUUAUCGAACAUUGAUUCAAUGAAAUAUGUAAACAUAAAAAUAAAAGAUGUAAGAUUUUUUGAUAUUUUCUGGUCCCUGUAGUAUCUCAAAGAUAACCCCGUCUCUGUAUUUGCCAUUUUUAUUUUAUUCAUCUGAUUGGAUAUCUAUCUGUAAAUGAUAUAUACAGUAUAUAUCUUUCAUGUCUUUAGGUUUGGUGGAG